AGUCAGGCGAACAUAAAUGCAUCAGUCCAGAUUGUCUAUUGGCAUUUAACUCACCAUUUAAUCUUCGACGGCAUAAUUAUGUUCAUCAUACAAGUUCUGGCAGCAAAGAAUUGGUCUGUCUUUUUUUCCUUUUCUUUCCCAUCUAUUUAUUGUUUUUAUAUAUUUACUUGUGUGUCAAACUCCGCACAGUUAACCCCUAUUUGCCAAUGUUCUGCAGGACAUUUUGCAACACAGAACUGAAUUUAGUAAUUGUUGGGAUAGUGUAAGUUAUUUUGAACAAAUUAUUUAUGCUUGUUUUCAUAGUUUGCUCACGCAUUGUAAAUUAGGUUUAGAUAUAAUAACUCUUUUCUUCCUUAUGCUGUUCAGCUCUCAUCUGAAGAGUCUGGGGAGAUAUUGUCUUUAAAGGAUAUGAAAUUUAAGGUAUUUUACUCAACAUGACCAGUAACUACACGCCAUUUUGUAAGAAAGUUAUCUGAAAUUGAAAUAUAUUUUCAGAAUCUUGAGGGAAAACUCAUUGUGCGAAUAUUAGAACAGCGAUCUUCUGAAAGUGACAGUGUUGCUAUGACGUUGUUGGUAUGCUAUUUUGCAUGACUUCUAUACCAUGUUCUGUAAGUAUGAAAUCAGUAAAUAGUUUUUAUUCCUUUUUUUGUGUUC
rnacentral:lncRNA from 1 species